UGAUUUGCUCGUAGGGCGCGAGCAAGGUAAACAAAAAAAGCCCACCGAGA
rnacentral:sRNA from 12 species